rnacentral:rRNA from 1 species
ACAGGGAUUGCCCCAGUAACGGCGAGUGAAGCGGCAACAGCUCAAAUUUGAAAUCUGGCCUCGGCCCGAGUUGUAAUUUGCAGAGGAAGCUUCUGGUGCGGCGCCGUCCGAGUCUCCUGGAACGGAGCGCCAUAGAGGGUGAGAGCCCCGUAUGGACGGAUGCCAAACCUGUGUGAAGCUCCUUCGACGAGUCGAGUAGUUUGGGAAUGCUGCUCUAAAUGGGAGGUAAAUUCCUUCUAAAGCUAAAUAUUGGCCAGAGACCGAUAGCGCACAAGUAGAGUGAUCGAAAGAUGAAAAGCACUUUGAAAAGAGGGUUAAACAGCACGUGAAAUUGUUGAAAGGGAAGCGCUUGUGACCAGACUUGAGCGCGGCGGAUCAUCCGGUGUUCUCACCGGUGCACUCCGCCGCGCCCAGGCCAGCAUCGGCUUCCGCGGGGGGACAAAGGUCCCGGGAACGUAGCUCCUCCGGGAGUGUUAUAGCCCGGGGCGCAAUGCCCCCGCGGGGGCCGAGGACCGCGCAUCUGCAAGGAUGCUGGCGUAAUGGUCAUCAGCGACCCGUCUUGAAACACGGACCAAGGAGUCAAGGUUUUGCGCGAGUGUUUGGGUGUUAAACCCGCACGCGUAAUGAAAGUGAACGUAGGUGAGAGCUUCGGCGCAUCAUCGACCGAUCCUGAUGUUUUCGGAUGGAUUUGAGUAGGAGCGUUAAGCCUUGGACCCGAAAGAUGGUGAACUAUGCUUGGAUAGGGUGAAGCCAGAGGAAACUCUGGUGGAGGCUCGCAGCGGUUCUGACGUGCAAAUCGAUCGUCAAAUCUGAGCAUGGGGGCGAAAGACUAAUCG